rnacentral:rRNA from 1 species
UACGUAGGGGGCAAGCGUUGUCCGGAAUUAUUGGGCGUAAAGAGCGCGUAGGCGGUCCGAUACGUCGGCUGUGAAAGUCAAGGGCUCAACCCUUGAAAGCCGGCCGAUACUGUCGGACUAGAGUCCGGAAGAGGCGAGUGGAAUUCCCAGUGUAGCGGUGAAAUGCGUAGAUAUUGGGAGGAACACCAGUGGCGAAGGCGGCUCACUGGACUGGUACUGACGCUGAGGCGCGAAAGCGUGGGGAGCAAACGGG